rnacentral:rRNA from 1 species
CCUAAGGUAGCGAAAUUCCUUGUCGGGUAAGUUCCGACCUGCACGAAUGGCGUAAUGAUGGCCAGGCUGUCUCCACCCGAGACUCAGUGAAAUUGAACUCGCUGUGAAGAUGCAGUGUACCCGCGGCAAGACGGAAAGACCCCGUGAACCUUUACUAUAGCUUGACACUGAACAUUGAGCCUUGAUGUGUAGGAUAGGUGGGAGGCUUUGAAGUGUGGACGCCAGUCUGCAUGGAGCCGACCUUGAAAUACCACCCUUUAAUGUUUGAUGUUCUAACGUUGACCCGUGAUCCGGGUUGCGGACAGUGUCUGGUGGGUAGUUUGACUGGGGCGGUCUCCUCCUAAAGAGUAACGGAGGAGCACGAAGGUUGGCUAAUCCUGGUCGGACAUCAGGAGGUUAGUGCAAUGGCAUAAGCCAGCUUGACUGCGAGCGUGACGGCGCGAGCAGGUGCGAAAGCAGGUCAUAGUGAUCCGGUGGUUCUGAAUGGAAGGGCCAUCGCUCAACGGAUAAAAGGUACUCCGGGGAUAACAGGCUGAUACCGCCCAAGAGUUCAUAUCGACGGCGGUGUUUGGCACCUCGAUGUCGGCUCAUCACAUCCUGGGGCUGAAGUAGGUCCCAAGGGUAUGGCUGUUCGCCAUUUAAAGUGGUACGCGAGCUGGGUUUAGAACGUCGUGAGACAGUUCGGUCCCUAUCUGCCGUGGGCGCUGGAGAACUGAGGGGGGCUGCUCCUAGUACGAGAGGACCGGAGUGGACGCAUCACUGGUGUUCGGGUUGUCAUGCCAAUGGCACUGCCCGGUAGCUAAAUGCGGAAGAGAUAAGUGCUGAAAGCAUCUAAGCACGAAACUUGCCCCGAGAUGAGUUCUCCCUGACUCCCUGAGAGUCCUGAAGGAACGUUGAAGACGACGACGUUGAUAGGCCGGGUGUGUAAGCGCAGCGAUGCGUUGAGCUAACCGGUACUAAUGAACCGUGAGGCUUAACCUU